UACGUAGGGGGCGAGCGUUAUCCGGAUUUACUGGGCGUAAAGCGCGUUAAGGCGGUUGGCAAAGUUGGUGGUGAAAUUGCAGGGCUCAACCCUGCAACUGCCUCCAAUACUGGUCGACUAGAGUACGAGAGAGGAAGGUGGAAUUCCCGGUGUAGUAGUGAAAUGCGUAGAUAUCGGGAGGAACACCCAGGGAGAAAUCAGCCGCCUGGGCAAGUGCUGACGCUGAGGUGCGAAAGCGUGGGGAGCGA
rnacentral:rRNA from 1 species